UUGCCAAAAAGCGUUUGAAACUUUUGGGCCACAUUGAAGAGCCCAUCAUCUGACAAACGGAGGAAAACAAUGAAAGGGGGAAACGACGACGCAGACGGAGAAUAGAAGUAAAAACAGAGCGAUAAAAUCGCUGAGAUAGGGUGCUGUGCAUUAUUGGAUUCUAUCUUAUGCACCACGCACAACUCAACUACAAGGAAUUCAGAAUGAGAGAUUGAAGAAGUAUGAGGAAUGGAGACGCAUACCCCCACUGAUUUGUCAGGAGAUUCUCUUGCGUGAUAAGAUAUGAUGUUUUUUGAGGAAAUUUUGGAGAUUGGUCUUGAUAGAACACGUUGACAAAAAUAUAUCCUCACGCCAGUGCUUUUAUGCAGCAGCAACCUGGCCAAAAUUGUUGAAGAUCAUGAGAACAGAGGGGCAAGCCAACAGUUGUUAAUGUGGAGUACUUACAAGAGCUAGAUACGUCUAAUAUCUUGGGUGUUCCUUGUAACACAUGGGUCACUUUUAUAGAAAAAAUAUAGAGAAAUUCAUCAAGACAGAAUACUUAGUUAUGCUGGCUUCUUUCAAAAUUCCACUCUAGGGAAACAGAAUUGUACUGGAUGUUGUGCCCUAGUGUGUUGGUAUGGUCUUGUAGAACCCAGAUAGAUAGAAAGGUGUAGAGGAAGUGAAAUAGGGUAGAAGGAUAGUAGAAAUAGGUUCAUCCUUAUUAGUAGGUAGGAGGACUUUAUUUUGUUAUCCGUGCUCGUGGUCAUAGUGCUAGUCUUGAUUCAGAGUGUGUUAUCGUUUGUCGUAUUACUUAGUGACAGGCUUGUUUAUGUUAUUAUUUGGUGUGUUAAUACC